GGUCUGUGGGUUGUUGGAUGUCCCAGCCUCCCGGAUGGGCAGGAGAAAAGGCACAGAAAGCCUGUGAGGACCAUCCUCAGAGCCCUCCCUUCCCGCCUGGAGGUAGACCAUCUUCUGGACUCGGUGGGGAAGCGGCGGCUUCCAGGUGUGCACGUGGCAGAUCUUGACUUGGCUGUCACUGUGCCUUGCAGGUCCAUCACUGUCUCCCUGUGAGGAACAGGUGAAAAGGGUUCUGUCCUGGGUGCCCUGACACUGCCAUGGUGCAGGAACGUGACCUGGUCAGUGCACUUGGGUUUUGACCACCAGCGCCUCAAUUUCUGACUGCAACCUCACCUCAUUCCCUCCCUUGGGAAGGCCCUGCCGAUAACUGAGCAUCUUAAGAUCAUCCUGCCCACUGUCAACUGCCUCCUUUCACCUGGUUCUGAACCCAUGGUCCCAGCUGCGUAUCCCCAGCCCAUCCCACCUGCAGACUUUACGUAUUCCUGCUUUAUGUCAGGCUUGGUUAGAUCCUGAGGGUGCCUCAUGGUGAGGCACCUUCCUCAGAUCACUGUGACCUGGCUGGGAGAAAUGGCAGCUGCUGGAGCGACAAGAAAGCUGGCCGGCAGCGUCAUAGACACCGUGAUCAGACUUUGAGGACAUCCUCAUGGCCACCUCUCUCCAGCGAGCAUCUGGUACCAGCUGGUGGAUCUUUUAGCAGCUUUGAUUCCCACACUGUGGUGGGAGUAGGGCUUCCUACUCCCGUGCCCCUUUCCCACAAUGCUCUUCACUAGGGAGUUUGAAGAGUCAAGUGUACUCAAAAUGGAAGCCGUAGAGUCCUGGACAGGAUGGCUCUUGGUUAGCCUUCAGUCAGUCCUUGACAGACAGAUUAAGUUGGCAGUAAUGGAGAACAGGGGGCGCUGGUGUUAGGCUGCUGCUCUUGCAGUAUGAUCAGCUCAUGCUGGGUGUCCUGAGUGUGCUGAAAGUGACGACUGAGGGCUGAGGCUGUAGCUCGGUUGGUAGAGCGCUUGCCCAGCCCUCAAAAAACCCCGGUCUCAUCCCCAGCACUGUGUAAACUGGGGUGUGGUACUGCAGG